AAAUUUCAACCUCUUCUUUCUUUGAAACGAAGGUGGAUUGGACUUCUGGAAGCUGCUGGAAUUAUACUAGUUCAGCUCUUCUCAAAUCUAUUAGCACGGUUGCUACUGGAUAAUUCCUUGGUAUGAUAAUUAUCUAUACCUCUGUGAAUUCCUAGACAUGGCACUAUGCUUCUAAUUGUCUAUAUAGAAGACAACUUUUGAACAA
rnacentral:misc_RNA from 1 species